rnacentral:rRNA from 1 species
AUUGAACGCUGGCGGCAGGCCUAACACAUGCAAGUCGAGCGGAUGAAGGGAGCUUGCUCCUGGAUUCAGCGGCGGACGGGUGAGUAAUGCCUAGGAAUCUGCCUGGUAGUGGGGGAUAACGUCCGGAAACGGGCGCUAAUACCGCAUACGUCCUGAGGGAGAAAGUGGGGGAUCUUCGGACCUCACGCUAUCAGAUGAGCCUAGGUCGGAUUAGCUAGUUGGUGGGGUAAAGGCCUACCAAGGCGACGAUCCGUAACUGGUCUGAGAGGAUGAUCAGUCACACUGAAAUGGAGACACGGCCAGGCCUCUACGGGAGGGCACAGGGGGGGAAUUUUGAAAAAGGGGCAAAGCCUUACUCCACCAAGGCGGGGGGGGUAAAGAGGUUCUGGGGUUUGAAAAGAAUUUAAGUUGGGGAGGAAGGACAAAAAUUUAAUACCUUGUUUUUUGAAGUUACCAAAAAAAAAAAGCCCGGGCUAGCUCGGUG